UACGUAGGGGCCUAGCGUCUCCGGAAUUAUUGGGCGUAAAGAGCGUGUAGGCGGCUUUACAGGUCCGUUGUGAAAACUCGAGGCUCAACCUCGAGACGCCGGUGGAAACCGUAAGGCUAGAGUCCGGAAGAGGAGAGUGGAAUUCCUGGUGUAGCGGUGAAAUGCGCAGAUAUCAGGAAGAACACCCGUGGCGAAGGCGGCCCACUGGGCCGGUACUGACGCUGAGGCGCGAAGGCGUGGGGAGCGAACGGGG
rnacentral:rRNA from 1 species